UACGUAGGGUGCGAGCGUGUCCGGAAUUAUUGGCGUAAAGAGCUCGUAGGCGGCCUGUCGCGUCGGAUGUGAAAACUCGGGGCUUAACCCCGAGCCUGCAUUCGAUACGGGCAGGCUAGAGUUCGGCAGGGGAGACUGGAAUUCCUGGUGCGCGGUGAAAUGCGCAGAUAUCAGGAGGAACACCGGUGGCGGAAGGCGGGUCUCUGGGGCCGAUACUGACGCUGGAGGAGCGAAAGCGUGGGGAGCGAACAGG
rnacentral:rRNA from 1 species